CUCGUACAAAGGUAGCAUAAUCAAUUGGUUUUUAAAUGAAAUCUGGAAUGAAAGGAUUAACGAAAUAUAUACUGUCUCAUGUAUAUAAAGUGAAUUUAAAAUUUUAAUUAAAAUGUUAAAAUUUUUUUAUGGGACGAUAAGACCCUAUAGAAUUUUAUAUUGCUACAUUUUAAUACUUAAUAUAAAACAUGUAGUAAUAUUUGGUUGGGAGGACUAUUAAAUUUAACUAACUUUAAUUUUUGAUUACUUUGAUUUAAGAAAAUACAAUGAUCUUUAAAUUAAAAUAUCUAGAUUAAAUUACCUUAGGGAUAACAGCGUAAUAUUUUUUUAUAGAUCGUAUAGAAAAAAAUGAUUGCGACCUCGAUGUUGAAUUAAGAAAAAG
rnacentral:rRNA from 1 species